rnacentral:snRNA from 1 species
GUACUUGCUUCGGCAAUGCAUAUACUAAAACUGGAAAGAUACAGAAAAGAUCAGCAUAGCCGCUGCGCAAGGAUGAGACGCAAAAUCGUGAUGCUUUCCACAUUUUG